GGAAGUGCCAGGGCCACUGGUGGGCCUCCCGGGCUUCAAACCCGGAGCGGCUUGCGAACAGCGGGCCGGGUGGGUUCGAUUCCCAUGCACUUCCGCCA
rnacentral:tRNA from 1 species